UUUUGGGUGUUUAUUAGUGA
rnacentral:piRNA from 1 species